GCUGUAGCUCAGAGGCAGAGCAUCUGCUCUGCAUGCAGAAAGGAGGUCGCUGGUUCGAUUCCUGGCAUCUCCG